UACAGAGGUCUCAAGCGUUGUUCGGAAUUACUGGGCGUAAAGGGCUCGUAGGCGGCCAACUAAGUCAGACGUGAAAUCCCUCGGCUUAACCGGGGAACUGCGUCUGAUACUGGAUGGCUGGAGUUUGGGAGAGGGAUGCGGAAUUCCAGGUGUAGCGGUGAAAUGCGUAGAUAUCUGGAGGAACACCGGUGGCGAAGGCGGCAUCCUGGACCAACACUGACGCUGAGUGAGCGAAAGCCAGGGGAGCAAACGGG
rnacentral:rRNA from 1 species